UCGUGGAGUGAUCUGUCUGCUUAAUUGCGUUUCACUAAGGGCUUAUUAAAUUUACGUGUGUUGUAAGUACUUUGACCCCUAUAUUGAAAUAUAUAUAGUGCGCGUCUUAGUUUGCUUUACUCACACAAUUAAGUCCUGAAAGCAACGAACGUGACCGCAACCUCUUGUUGCUUCUAAUUUUAACGCGUAUUUUAAUAUUUAUAUUAUUCUACGUAUAAAGAAGCUUUGAAACUAGAGGGACCGCUGUAA
rnacentral:rRNA from 1 species